rnacentral:rRNA from 1 species
UACGGGGGGAGCAAGCGUUGUUCGGAUUUACUGAGCGUAAAGGGCGCGUAGGCGGUCGUGACAAGUCACUUGUGAAAUCUCCGGGCUUAACUCGGAACGGUCAAGUGAUACUGUCGGACUAGAGUACAGAAGGGGCAACUGGAAUUCUCGGUGUAGCGGUGAAAUGCGUAGAUAUCGAGAGGAACACCUGCGGCGAAGGCGGGUUGCUGGGCUGAUACUGACGCUGAGGCGCGAAAGCCAGGGGAGCGAACGGG